rnacentral:tRNA from 1 species
GCGAGAGUGGCGGAACGGCAGACGCGCUAUCUUCAGGCGGUAGUGUCGAAAGACGUGAGGGUUCAAAUCCCUUCUCUCGCA